ACAGUACAAACUGAGCAGGCGAUGCUUUUCGGAAUCGAAAAUAUUUAUCGAAGGCAUGGGGCCGGGCCGCAGGAAGCGGCAGCGGAUAUGGAAUGUGACUUUGCUUUCAGACAUAUCUGCGGGACAGUG
rnacentral:ncRNA from 1 species